rnacentral:lncRNA from 1 species
AGGGGAUAAAGGGUUACAUGGUGAAGAGAGAAAUUUGGCACAGCUAAGCAGACCAAGUGGGCUUCCUGGAGGAAGGGGCAUUCGAUUGAGAUUUGAAAGCUUUUUUUUUUUUUUUUUUUUCAUUAUUUGACUGCACCGGGUCUUAGUUGUGGCAUGAGAACUCUGAGUUGCGGCAUGUGGGAUCUAGUUCCCUGACCAGGGAUCAAACCCAGGCCUCCUAAAUUGGGAGCGAGGAGUAUUAGCCACUGGACUACCAGGGAGGUCCCAGAUUUUUUUUUUUAAAUCUUGAGUAUUGAAAGGGAAGCAAGGUCGAGUGAAGUCCCUGACAGAAGGGGCAGCUGAGGUGAAGCAGGUGAGACCUGGACUGUGUCGAUCAGACUAGUUGGGAUCCCAUUGCUAAGGAUGGACCACGUGGCUUUGUGGAGGUGCCUUCUCCUCCGAACAUAUUUCCUCACUGGAAGAGAAGAAAGACUGUGAAGAUACUGAAACAACACGUGUGAAACAGCCGCCCAACCCUGUGGGUGCUGCUCCUGUCUGACUUACUCCGGUCUGACUCUAGUGGUGGCCUGGCGGGCGUUCCAGGCAGGUGGUGACACUCCUGUGUCUCUGGUUUGAAGGGAAUCAUUAGACAUCAAAUGAACACUCCUUAGGAAGAGAUAAAUGUUGUCCUCUGUCAGAGCCGUGGCCCUGUCACCAGGGCAGGUGACCAGGACUGCACAACCAACAGCCCAGGCUCUGCGGUUCCAGCUCUGCGUCCCGGCUGCUCUCCAGCAGGAAAGGAGGCCAAGGCCUGUGCCCACUUCACACAGAGCACCUCAGGGCCUCGCCCUGGGGUUCCUGCCAAAGAGUCCUUCUUGCAUCACACCUGGAGGCCACCCCAGCCAGCAAGUCCAUCAGGAGGAAUAACACGUUCAGUCAACAGGCACCUGCUUACACAUUUUCUACUCAGAGAUAACUGCUCAGUCAGAGCUCUUCAGACCUCAAAGUGGCCCGGGGCCUGGGUCUGGUGGGGAGGUGCUGCUUUGGCAACACAGAAGCCUCUGCUGCCUCUGGGAGCUGAGCCCACACCUUUCCUUCAAUCUGCAGGUGGUUUCAGAGAACAGAGCAUGCAAGCAGAAGAGGGCAGUGAGAAGGGUAUUGUCAAAGCAACAGUCCCCAGCACUGGGGCUGCAGAGGGUAGAACACAGGCCAAACAUUCAUGCUGACCACGUCAGAACCGCCAACAGGGCCUCUCUCUUCAAAUCUCUCCCAUGUGACUCUUCAGCUCUCCUCACAGGUGGGUGUUUUUGUGGCCGGAGGUGAUCGUGGGUUUGAACGGCCAUGGUAACGUGUCCAAUUUCUCAUGAUGAUCUACCAGGCUGGGAGCCUCUG